UACGGAGGGGGCUAGCGUUGUUCGGAUUCAUUGGGCGUAAAGGGUGCGUAGGCGGCGCGGUAAGUCGGGUGUGAAAUCUCGGAGCUUAACUCCGAAACUGCAUUCGAUACUGCCAUGCUUGAGGACUGGAGAGGAGACUGGAAUUUACGGUGUAGCGGUGAAAUGCGUAGAUAUCGUAAGGAAGACCAGUGGCGAAGGCGGGUCUCUGGACAGUUCCUGACGCUGAGGCACGAAGGCCAGGGGAGCAAACGGG
rnacentral:rRNA from 1 species